ensembl:lncRNA
GUCACAUGACAAGCUGAGAAAAUUCAACAUGGCGGCUCGCUGCCGUGACUAGUUUACCGAUCCUGUUUACGUGCACAUACUAACGAUUUUUACCGUUAAAUCAACGCCACCAACGAGAGCCGACCACGCGCCCUCUCACCAGCCAGAGUGGAGGACCUCGAGGACUUCAUAGAUAGAUAUUACGCUGAGUACGUGAUGGAGUCCGGACCAAAAGCCAGUACAUCAGGUAAGUCGGCGAAGCGCCGGAAAAACGAUUCGGCCACCGAUACAUCAGACCUCGAGGUAGAAUCCCACACGGAACUCCUACAGACCAUAAUUAAGAGGCUGGAUGUGCUCGACUUACUGCACCGAGACGUUCAGGAAAUGAAAGUCAGCCUGGAAUUUGCCUAUCAACAAAUCCAGGACUUACAAAAAGAUAAUCAUGAUAUCCAUUCGGCUUUAUCUGCGGUGAGCUCCGAGGUAAAAGAGCUGAAAAAAGAAAACAAGUUUCUUAAAGAAUCAGUCCUGGACAUCCAAUCUCGUAGUAUGAGAGACAACGUAAUAUUCUCAGGUAUUCCAGAAACCCCCAACGAUGACCCACAUGCUCUGCUGAAAGACUUCAUGUCGUCGGCGCUUAAAAUCCCGGCAGAAACCGUGAAAAACAUCACAUUUCACCGUGUCCAUCGCCUCGGACCACGGAGAGGAAACCGUCCACGUCCCAUCAUUGCCAAAUUUGAGCACUUUCAACAGAAGAUCCAGGUUAAAAGUAAAGGUCGGGAACUUAAAGGUACGCAAUUCGGCAUGAAUGAUCAAUUCCCUCGGGAAAUAAACGAACGUCGAAAAACCCUGUAUCCUAUCUUUAAAGAAAACCGACAGAAAGGCAAAAAUUCCAAACUGGUCGUAGACAAGCUUUACAUAGAUGGCCAACUGUUUAGGGACUUAAACAUCACGCCCUGGCUCUACUGAGAAAGACAAAUCUAAAAAUAAUAAUAAUAAUGAAGUUAAAAAAAAAAACACAACACAGGUGUUAUGUGAGUUAACAUUGAAAGGAUAAUUCUCCACUUAUGGUGAAGCUAAGGUAGCAUUAUUUUUUUAAAAAAAAUUAAAAUAAAUAUAUAUGUUGUAUGUGUGUAUGUAUAUAUCUGUACA